rnacentral:RNase_P_RNA from 15 species
GGCAGAGGGAGCCCGGCUGCCCGUGCCGUGAGGCAUGAGGAAAGUCCCCCCACCCGUUCGGGCACGCGGCCGGACACACGUCCGGGGCGGGAGACCGCCGGCACUGGAACAGACACGACACGUCCCUCCCACACCGAUGAGGCGCGCGACCCACCCCGAAAGGGACGGCAGUUAACCCGCCGAGGGCGUGGCCGCCACACCGGCGGCCACGGACCGGUGAUCGACACCCCAAUGGGAGGGGAGCGAUGGAACGGCCAACCCCCGCCGGUGCAAGUCCACGCGCGCAUGGUAGCCCGAACCACCCGAAAGGGGCCGCGUGGACGCUCAGCCGAAUGCCGGGCCGAACAGAAGGGGGCUUACUCCCCUCAGCUCGUA